rnacentral:misc_RNA from 1 species
AGGUCCUCAACUCCUCAUCAAUAUCCAAAACUUGUAAAUCCUUUGAUACUACUUCCUCCAAGUCAUCUUAGGCUUCUCUCUUCCCCUUCUCACACCUUCCCCUCUCACUCCUCUUACUAGUUUAUUACACUUCCGCAUUGGGGUAUUUAAUUCUUUGCAUUGUAUAUGACCAAACCAUCUUAAAUGACCCUCUCUCAUUUUAUCUCCAAUAUGUGCUACAUUCAAUUUUUGGCGAAUGUGGUUUGC